CAGUGGUCAUAACAGUGUGAGGAAUAACCAAUUGGGUAAUAUUUUGAUAAUGCAAACAGAGCAUUUUAAUGAAUUGUAAAGUCACAUGAUAUGUAAUGUGGUUAGGUGUUAAAAAACUAGUCACGUGAUAUGUAAACUGUAAUAGAUAUAUUUUAUGCAGAUGAGAAAUUACUACAAACAUGAACUUUUUUCAGAAAACUAUAUGACGGAAAAAUGGUUAGAGCAAGCGAAAUGGUUACAUCAGAUUGUUGUUGAUGAAAACACAUCAAAAGGACAAGAAUAAAUCAAUUUCCAAUAAACAACAACAUGACAUUAGAGGCUAGAUCCAACUUCAAAGUACACACAAUUUCAUCUAUAAUUUCACUUUGUUUUUAAAACACACUAACAUGCCCAUCAAUUUCAAAAACCAACAGAACCCUAAAAUUAUUAACAAAAGUUUGAAAACCAUACCCUACAAGCAAUCACUGUUUUCUGCUUCUUCCCGAACAACAUCAAGAACAAAAUCAAUAGAAUAGUGCCUCGAAUCUCCUGUUAGUAGAAGUAGACAUAUCUACCACCUACAAAAACCAACAACCACAAAAAAAAAAUUCCAAAGUAUUCAACUUGCAUGCACAUAAGGUAAAAUCAUAUUUUACACUCAAUAACAACAUAAAGUUCCAAAUUUUGAAUCAAAACUAGAAAUAAUACCAAAUCAGCUAAUCAAUCUAAGGGGGGAAAGAAAGGCAUUGUUGGAUUAAAAAAAAUCCCCAAAUCUAUUAUCAAAGUACACCAUUUUCAUCUUAUUUCCAUGUAAAUUACUUUGUUUUUCGUGUUAAAAUAUGAACAUAGAAGAAACAGAGGGGAUGGUUGCUUUGUAAAGGGGGGAAGAACUUGGUUGAAAGGAGAGAUAGAGAAAUGGAAAGUGAUGAAAGGAGAAGAAAAUGAAUGAGAAAGAGGAGACUAGAAAAGAGAGAGAAAGUGAGGGAAAAAAGAGAUUUUUUUUUAAAAAGGAAAAAAAGAAAUGGGGUGAAAAGAGGGGGAAAAUUGAUAUAAGGGGCAUAAUAAAAAUUUGGACCAAUUGAAAAGUGUCAUGUGGGUGAAUGAAUUGUUCUCAGCAACUCUACGAUUGGGUAAUAUGUAUUUUACAAUUAU
rnacentral:lncRNA from 1 species